rnacentral:rRNA from 1 species
GACGAACGCUGGCGGCGUGCCUAAUACAUGCAAGUCGAGCGGACUUUCAAGAAGCUUGCUUUUUGAAAGUUAGCGGCGGACGGGUGAGUAACACGUGGGCAACCUGCCUGUAAGACGGGGAUAACUCCGGGAAACCGGGGCUAAUACCGGAUAAUAUCUUUCUUCGCAUGAAGGAAGGUUGAAAGGCGGCGCAAGCUGCCGCUUGCAGAUGGGACAGGGGCGCAUUAGCUAGUUGGUGAGGUAACGGCUCACCAAGGCGACGAUGCGUAGCCGACCUGAGAGGGUGAUCGGCCACACUGGGACUGAGACACGGCCCAGACUCCUACGGGAGGCAGCAGUAGGGAAUCUUCCGCAAUGGACGAAAGUCUGACGGAGCAACGCCGCGUGAGCGAAGAAGGUCUUCGGAUCGUAAAGCUCUGUUGUCAGGGAAGAACAAGUACCGUUCGAAUAGGGCGGUACCUUGACGGUACCUGACCAGAAAGCCACGGCUAACUACGUGCCAGCCGCCGCAGUAA